rnacentral:ncRNA from 1 species
GAAUUUUAAAAAAAAAGAGUUAAAUAAUUACUUAUAACUUACACAUAAAAGCUUUAUUCUAACUUGAAGAUUUACAGGACAAUUAUUUUAUAUAUAAACAAAUAGGACGAAAUUAGUAGUAUUUAGUAUUAUACAACUUUUAUAGGUAUAGAAAUUUAAUGGAGGACUGAAUAAAUGUGUGCCAGCACUCGCGGUUAUACACCUAGUAUAAUGGAUCUUAUUGGUAAAAUUUGAAGUAAUUGAAAUAUUAUAGGUUAGAUUUAGUAAAAGGUAAAAUUUGACUAGAUUCUGGAAAUGAUUUAGUUAAAUAAAAUAAGAUUAAGGUAAAGACCUGGAUUAGAUACCCUGUUAUGUUAAUAAAUAAAGUUAUUACCCGAGCAGUAAAUUAGUCGAAACUUAAAGAAUUUGGCGGUACAUUUACGGAUUAGAGGAAUAUGUAUAAUAAUUGAUAAUCCUCGUUAGACUUUACUUUUUUAAAAACUUAUAUAUCGUUGUUUAAAGAGUAAAUUGUUUAGAAGUUUACUCUGGCUUUAUUGAAGUUGAUAACAAAUCAAGGUGUAGUGAAUGAAAAAGUUUUUAUGUAUUACAAUUACUUAUAGUAAUGGGGGUUAGAUAUGAAAUAUUUAUUGAAAUUGGAUUUAAGUGUAAAGCUCUGUAAUUUAAGAGUUUGAUUAAAGUUCUAAGGUAUGCACACAUCGCCCGUCACUCUCGUUCAAUACGAGAUAAGUCGUAACAAAGUAGGUUUGCUGGAAAGGGUACCUUGUUGG